UUUUUUUUAAUAGACUAUUUGGUUGAACAUUAAACUGCAAGUGUUUAAAAAGAAAGAAAUGAUUGAAAUGUUAACACAAAACAAUUAAAUAUAUUAGUCGUUAUAAAAAAAAAUAUAUAUUUAAAGUUUUUUUUUAUUUUUUAAACAAUUUUAUAUUAAAACAUUGACACGCCUUCUCAGUUUGCAAGUUAAGAGCUCCGAUUAGUAAGUGAAAUACAAAUAAAGUUAACGAACAUAAUAAAUUAAAUCCAUUUAAAUCGACUUGCUGGCCAAUUAAAAACCAGUGUACUUGGGUAAUGAAAUCGAAAUGAUUUCGAGACCAUCGAUCCAUUAAAUAAUGUUAAUCCCCUAUAACUAUCGAUCAACAUUUUACAAGCAAAAGCCAAAGACCUAUUUUCAAGGAAGAGGCCUUAAAAACGUCUGAUCUGAAUUACAGAUGCUGUGAUCGAUUCAGAGAUGAUGAGGAUAGGUCCAUAAUUGACCCCAACACGCAUAUAACUCCUCUUAUGGUUAUAGAAGUUGGACAAAAACCGUAUGAUAUGUCGAAUUUCAACAUUGUGGCUGAUGAUGGUGAGGCA